rnacentral:rRNA from 1 species
GACGAACGCUGGCGGCGUGCCUAAUACAUGCAAGUUGAGCGCUGAAGGUUGGUACUUGUACCAACUGGAUGAGCAGCGAACGGGUGAGUAACGCGUGGGGAAUCUGCCUUUGGGCGGGGGACAACAUUUGGAAACGAAUGCUAAUACCGCAUAAAAACUUUAAACACAAGUUUUAAGUUUGAAAGAUGCAAUUGCAUCACUCAAAGAUGAUCCCGCGUUGUAUUAGCUAGUUGGUGAGGUAAAGGCUCACCAAGGCGAUGAUACAUAGCCGACCUGAGAGGGUGAUCGGCCACAUUGGGACUGAGACACGGCCCAAACUCCUACGGGAGGCAGCAGUAGGCAAUCUUCGGCAAUGGACGAAAGUCUGACCGAGCAACGCCGCGUGAGUGAAGAAGGUUUUCGGAUCGUAAAACUCUGUUGGUAGAGAAGAACGUUGGUGAGAGUGGAAAGCUCAUCAAGUGACGGUAACUACCCAGAAAGGGACGGCUAACUACGUG